ACCAGAGCACUGAGCAGAUCCCUGGG
rnacentral:piRNA from 1 species